CCUACGGGUGGCAGCAGUGAGGAAUAUUGGUCAAUGGCCGGAAGGCUGAACCAGCCAAGCCGCGUGAAGGAAGAAGGCGCUAAGGAUUGUAAACUUCUUUUGUCAAGGCGCAAAAUGCGGCUCGAGACCUGGAGUGAGAGUACCUGAAGAAAAAGCAUCGGCUAACUCCGUGCCAGCAGCCGCGGUAAUACGGAGGAUGCGAGCGUUAUCCGGAUUUAUUGGGUUUAAAGGGUGCGCAGGCGGACUCAAAAGUCAGCGGUAAAAUCGCGGGGCUCAACCCCGCUCAGCCGUUGAAACUGGGUGUCUUGAGUGCGCGAAGGGUAGGCGGAAUGCGGGGUGUAGCGGUGAAAUGCAUAGAUAGUACGCAGAACUCCGAUUGCGAAGGCAGCCUACCGGCGGGGAACUGACGCUGAGGCACGAAAGCGUGGGUAUCGAACAGGAUUAGAUACCCGGGUAGUC
rnacentral:rRNA from 1 species